rnacentral:misc_RNA from 1 species
GUACAUUUUCGCGAUUUUGGAGAUCAAAACGAGGUUAUAUUUGCGAAAAUGUGUGGUUAUCGCAAAGAAAUUGGAUCGUGGUACCAACCAUGAACAUUUAGUGAUAUUCCAGAGUUUCUUUUGGGGGUGCGUCAAAGACUAGUCGAAUUUUCAUGGUUAAAUUAUUAACUUUACUCACCACGUGAUGCGGAAGAUAAUAUCCUUUGAACGAAGUGUAUCUACUGACGACUGGCCCAACUCAUUUAAAACUGGCGGAGUUCGCGAUGAUGUGAUCCACAUCGGUGCUCUAACUAACACACUUAUACGUUUCGCUCCUAUGAUUGCUGAUUUAUUACAACUGUUUUCCAAUAGCGUAUGCGUAGUUGGCUACUGAGUUAUCGAGCAAUUUGAUUAAUUGUACUACUUCGUCACAUAAACAUGCUCGUAAGUACAUCAGUUUUUUACAGCUAUUAAAUU